GGCCCUACUAAACAUCUUCCAAGACAACAAUGCCCAUUUAUACCACAAAGAACUCAUAACCCACCUACUUUCAGCAGCCAGAAACACCAUAACCAGACACUGGAGAGACCUGUCAGGAGUAAACAUGGACCAAUGGUACCAAAUAGUAUGGGAAACAGCUCUACUAGAAAAAUUAACUAAUAAACUGAAACUGACACGGGGACAAACAGAAGAAGACGCCUUCACCCCGGUAUGGCUCCCAUUUACACAGCCCAACAGGACAAUGACAAUAAUCCACCAACAGCAUACAAAUCAAUAUGGCUAACCUGAUCCAAAACACCCACCCACCUCACUCACACACGAAAACAAAGAUCACCACAGCCAAUCACAAGCAAACAAUCACACCCUAGGCCAACCCCAACCUCUCUCACCACCAAAGGAACACAAGUGAACAACACAAGCAACGCUGACACCAAACUCUACAUACAUUAAACAUAAUAGAAACACUGCCACCCGACCCCACCCCCAUCCAUCUUCCCUCUCUCCACCCCCCUUUCUUUUUUCCUUUUUUUCUUCUCCCCCUAA